UAACGCAUUAAGCACUCCGCCUGGGGAGUACGGUCGCAAGACUGAAACUCAAAGGAAUUGACGGGGGCCCGCACAAGCGGUGGAGCAUGUGGUUUAAUUCGAAGCAACGCGAAGAACCUUACCAGGUCUUGACAUCCUCUGACAACCCUAGAGAUAGGGCUUUCCCUUCGGGGACAGAGUGACAGGUGGUGCAUGGUUGUCGUCAGCUCGUGUCGUGAGAUGUUGGGUUAAGUCCCGCAACGAGCGCAACCCUUGAUCUUAGUUGCCAGCAUUUAGUUGGGCACUCUAAGGUGACUGCCGGUGACAAACCGGAGGAAGGUGGGGAUGACGUCAAAUCAUCAUGCCCCUUAUGACCUGGGCUACACACGUGCUACAAUGGACAGAACAAAGGGCUGCGAGACCGCAAGGUUUAGCCAAUCCCACAAAUCUGUUCUCAGUUCGGAUCGCAGUCUGCAACUCGACUGCGUGAAGCUGGAAUCGCUAGUAUCGCGAU
rnacentral:rRNA from 1 species